rnacentral:lncRNA from 1 species
UAUGGUAACAACCAAUAAAUGUUUAUAAUAUGAUUGUUGAAUAAUUUGAAUCUAAUUAGUUAUAUAGAAAUCAAUAAUUGUUGAUUAGAGGUUAUUAAAAAUUAGGAUAAUUAACAAUAAUAAAAAAUGAAUGUAGUCAACUUCUAUUUUAGGUAACUUUAUUUAAAAAUAAGUCAAAUAUAAUUUAAAUUUAAAAUUACUAUAAUAUGUUGGAAGAAUUUAAUCAAAAUUAUAUAUAAAAUUUUAAAUUUUAAACAACUAACAUGUCUAGGUACAUU